UACAGAGGGGGCGAGCGUUGUUCGGAAUUACUGGGCGUAAAGGGCGCGUAGGCGGCCUUCUAAGUCGAAACGUGAAAUCCCCGGGCUCAACCCGGGAACUGCGUCCGAUACUGGGAGGCUUGAAUCCGGGAGAGGGAUGUGGAAUUCAGGUGUAGCGGUGGAAAUGACGUAGAUAUCGGGAGGAACACCAGUGGCGAAGGCGGCGACCUGGGCCAAUACUGACGCUGAGG
rnacentral:rRNA from 1 species